rnacentral:rRNA from 1 species
GAUGAACGCUGGCGGCGUGCUUAACACAUGCAAGUCGAACGAGAAGUGAAGACGGAAACCUUCGGGCGGAAGGCUUUAUUUCGAGUGGCGGACGGGUGAGUAACGCGUGGGUAACCUGCCUCAUACAGGGGGAUAACAGUUGGAAACGACAGUUAAUACCGCAUAAGACCACAGCACCGCAUGGUGCGGGGGUAAAAACUCCGGUGGUAUGAGAUGGACCCGCGUUCGAUUAGCCCGUUGGCGGGGUUACGGCACACGACAGCGACGAUCGAUAGCCGAUCUGAGAGGAUGACCGGCCACAUUGGGACUGAGACACGGCCCAAACUCCUACGGGAGGCAGCAGUGGGGAAUAUUGCACAAUGGGGGAAACCCUGAUGCAGCGACGCCGCGUGAGUGAAGAAGUAUUUCGGUAUGUAAAGCUCUAUCAGCAGGGAAGAAAAUGACGGUACCUGAGUAAGAAGCCCCGGCUAACUACGUG